CACCGCGGUCAUACGAUUAGCCCAAACUAAUAGACCCACGGCGUAAAGCGUGUUACAGAGAAAAAAAUAUACUAAAGUUAAAUUUUAACUAGGCCGUAGAAAGCUAGAGUUAACAUAAAAAUACAGCACGAAAGUAACUUUAACACCUCCGACUACACGACAGCUAAGACC
rnacentral:rRNA from 1 species